rnacentral:lncRNA from 1 species
GUAUCCAGAAAAGAUACGCUUGAGUCUGGGGGUGGCUGGAGCUGAAGAUAUAAAUGUGGAAGUCGUUCCAAAACGGACAGUCUUUAGCACCCUAUAUUUGAAAAAAUUACCCAGGGAAUGAGACUUAUUACAGAAGAUGGACAUUUGAUGAUAUUUGAUCAGUGCCUGAAUACCUUGUGUGGACUUCAGGGUUAAGAAUUUCAUAUUCAAAGGCACUGUGGAGCCUGGAGAAGCUUUGGCAGGCGGUUAGAAUUCCUCAGGGGUUGUCAUCUGCCACCUGGCUCCCUGUUACUGCCCAUGGGAAACUGUAUAUUAACAUCUUGCCAGAACUCUAUUUCUGCACUGUUCCUGCCCUCGCCAAGUCUCAUCCAGGACUGUUUGAGGAUUGGAAGAGAUAAUGGUGGUGAGGUUCUUAGCACAGCCUGGGCAUCCAGAUGGCGGCCAUGGAGCGUGAAGCAUCAUUUUUGAGCAACUUUUGAGGUCUUCUGACUCCAGCUCUGACGCUCUCGCACACACCAUCCUGCUCACAGCCACUGGUGGAAGGGCUGAGCCAGCUUCUGUGAGUCUUAUUUAGAUCUAAUACGUAGAGGCAGGGCUCACUAGACAUGUAUCAUGGUGGCGUGCUGGCCAUUGGCCAUGCAUUUGGCAGGACUGGCGCAGAUGUCCUACAUUGUAGAAAUGACACUUGUCACUUUACCCUAUGACAGGACCACAAGCAACACUUGCUAACAGAAGUCUCACGUGGGCUCUAGAUACUGACGUGGGGCUUGGGAAGUUCAACACAAUUCACAUAACUUCAGUGACGCAUCUUUCCUGAAAUACCAGACUUCUGGGUCACGCUAAGAAUGAGAUAACAGAAAACAGAGAUAUUGUCUCUGCUCUUGGUUGAUUCACUAUUUGUGUUUGUUUUGACUUUCCAGAAACUUAGGAGAUAAAAUCAUUCAGAUGUCAAAGAUUUUUGGAUAGAUGGAAGUCUGGCCCUAAGAAUUAAGUUAUUCGAAACAUUUUAGUAUGGAAAACUCCUGGGUGGGUUACAGUUCAUUUCAACCUCUUCUUAAAUAGACACCCCACUAUGCUAAUUCAACUUUUUCUUGCACAGUUAAAUAAUUCAUUGUGAUUAUACAUUAUUGUUCUGUUGGUGCACAGGGUUCUGUGUCCCUCUAAAAAUAGUCUCACAAUACUCACCUUUCUGAGUUCUUAUGUCUGUUCUGCAUAUUUUUCUAUUUCCUUCUCCAUGACCAUGCUUAUAGACGUCGCUUGCUUUAGGUAGAGCAGCUUAAAAUCUGCUUCAUGUGUUAUAAAGGAGUUUUUGAAAUUUUACAUUGCCCAACUUCUCUUGUGACAUUCUUAGAACGUGCCACUUUAUAUCAAAAUCACAAAUGUAUUUUAAUUGUUUUGUCUUUACAUUUGAGCCUCUGUGAUAGAGUAUAUUUUGAUAUAAGG